rnacentral:rRNA from 1 species
CUGGUUGAUCCUGCCAGUAGUCAUAUGCUUGUCUCAAAGAUUAAGCCAUGCAUGUCUAAGCACAAGCCGAUUAAUGGUGAAGCCGCGAAUGGCUCAUUACAACAGCCAUAGUUUCUUAGAUCUUACUUUUCUACUUGGAUAACUGUGGUAAUUCUAGAGCUAAUACACGCAAAAAAGCUCAGACCUUACGGAAUGAGCGCAUUUAUUAGAACAAAAACCAAUCGGGCUUCGGUCCGUCAUUUGGUGAAUCUGAAUAACUUUGCUGAUCGCACGGUCUUCGUACCGGCGACAUAUCUUUCAAAUGUCUGCCUUAUCAACUUUCGAUGGUAGUUUAUGCGCCUACCAUGGUUGUAACGGGUAACGGAGAAUAAGGGUUCGACUCCGGAGAGGGAGCCUGAGAAACGGCUACCACAUCCAAGGAAGGCAGCAGGCACGCAAAUUACCCACUCCCGGCACGGGGAGGUAGUGACGAAAAAUAACGAGGCGGCUCGCUAUGCGGUCCGUCAUCGGAAUGGGUACAAUUUAAAUCCUUUAACGAGGAUCUAUUGGAGGAAAAGUCUGGUGCCA